UACGUAGGGACCAAGCGUUGUCCGGAAUCAUUGGGCGUAAAGCGCGCGUAGGUGGCCAUUUAAGUCCGCUGUGAAAGUCAGAGGCUCAACCUUUGAAAGCCGGUGGAUACUGUGAGGCUAGAGUACGGAAGAGGCGAGUGGAAUUCCUGGUGUAGCGGUGGAAUGCGCAGAUAUCAGGAGGAACACCAAUAGCGAAGGCAGCUCGCUGGGACGUUACUGACACUGAGGCGCGAAAGCGUGGGGAGCGAACAGG
rnacentral:rRNA from 1 species